UACGGAGGGUGCAAGCGUUGUUCGGAUUUACUGGGCGUAAAGCGCGCGCAGGUGGAUGAACAAGUCGGAAGUGAAAUCUUGAGGCUCAACCUCGAGGCUGCUCCCGAAACUGGUCGUCUAGGGACUGGUAGAGGCUGGUAGAAUUCCCGGUGUAGCGGUGGAAUGCGUAGAGAUCGGGAGGAACACCGGUGGCGAAGGCGGCGACCUGGGUAGAUACUGACGCUGAGGUGCGAAAGCGUGGGGAGCAAACAGG
rnacentral:rRNA from 1 species